UACGUAGGGGGCAAGCGUUGUCCGGAAUUAUUGGGCGUAAAGAGCGCGUAGGCGGUCCGAUAAGUCGGCUGUGAAAGUCAGGGGCUCAACCCUUGAAAGCCGGCCGAUACUGUCGGACUAGAGUCCGGAAGAGGCAAGUGGAAUUCCCGGUGUAGCGGUGAAAUGCGCAGAUAUCGGGAGGAACACCAGUGGCGAAGGCGGCUUCCUGGCCUGUUCUUGACGCUGAGGCGCGAAAGCUAGGGGAGCAAACGGG
rnacentral:rRNA from 1 species